rnacentral:rRNA from 1 species
AUUGAACGCUGGCGGCAGGCCUAACACAUGCAAGUCGAACGAGUGGCGGACGGGUGAGUAAUGUCUGGGAAAAUGCCUGAUGGAGGGGGAUAACUACUGGAAACGGUAGCUAAUACCGCAUACCAUCGGAUGUGCCCAGAUGGGAUGAGCUAGAAGGUGGGGUAAAGGCUCACCUAGGCGACGAGCCCUAGCUGGUCUGAGAGGAUGACCAGCCACACUGGAACUGAGACACGGUCCAAACUCCUACGGGAGUCAGCAGUGGGGAAUAUUGCACAAUGGGCGCAAGCCGGAUGCAGCCAUGCCGCGUGUAUGAAGAAGGCCUUAGGGUUGUAAAGUACUUUCAGCGGGGAGGCGUUACCCGCAGAAGAAGCACCGGCUAACUCCGUGCCAGCAGCCGCGGUAAUUC